rnacentral:rRNA from 1 species
GAUGAACGCUGGCGGCGUGCCUAAUACAUGCAAGUCGAGCGAACAGACGAGGAGCCUGCUCCUUUGACGUUAGCGGCGGACGGGUGAGUAACACGUGGGUAACCUACCUAUAAGACUGGGAUAACUUCGGGAAACCGGAGCUAAUACCGGAUAAUAUUUCGAACCGCAUGGUUCGAUAGUGAAAGAUGGCUUUGCUAUCACUUAUAGAUGGACCUGCGCCGUAUUAGCUAGUUGGUAAGGUAACGGCUUACCAAGGCAACGAUACGUAGCCGACCUGAGAGGGUGAUCGGCCACACUGGAACUGAGACACGGUCCAGACUCCUACGGGAGGCAGCAGUAGGGAAUCUUCCGCAAUGGGCGAAAGCCUGACGGAGCAACGCCGCGUGAGUGAUGAAGGUCUUCGGAUCGUAAAACUCUGUUAUUAGGGAAGAACAAACGUGUAAGUAACUGUGCACGUCUUGGCGGUACCUAAUCAGAAAGCCACGGCUAACUACGUG